rnacentral:rRNA from 1 species
UGCGUAGGCGGCGCGGAAAGUUGGGUGUGAAAUCCCUCGGCUCAGCCGAGGAACUGCGCCCAAAACUACCGUGCUCGAGGGAGAUAGAGGUGAGCGGAACUUAGGGUGGAGCGGUGAAAUGCGUUGAUAUCCUAAGGAACACCAGUGGCGAAAGCGGCUCACUGGAUCUCUUCUGACGCUGAGGCACGAAAGCUAGGGUAGCGAACG